GUGUGGUGGAGCUGAUGGUAGCACUGGAGACAGACACAGGAGUAACAACACUUGAGGGAGGAAAGACUAGAAUUUCCAUUUUGGUCAAGUUUAGUUUAAGGAAGUUGGCAGCCAUCCAGUUAGAAAUAGCAGAGAGGCAGUCAGAUACACUAGUCAAGAGGGACGGGGAGAGAUCAGGAGAGGACAGGUAGAUUUGUGUGUCAUCUGCAUAGAAAUGAUAUUGGAAGCCAAAGGAGC